rnacentral:lncRNA from 1 species
AAUAGAAAAUGCCUGCAAAUAUUAAACUAUGCCACGCAUAAUCUGUGAUUACCCACAGGAUCUUCCUAAACUGUCUGAGGACAACAAGACCUUAUCUGGUGACAUCGACGAAGAAAAUCUUAUAGCGGCAAGGUGAGCAAAUACUGUAUUCAGGUUUAUGUUUUUUUUGUUUUUGUUUAGGCAGCUGUGAAUGACUUCUGCUUUUUCUCUCUCUGUCCUCUAGUCUUACAGAUCAGUUACCUCCUCAGCCAGAAAUCUUAGGGGAUUUGUUGUGUCCCCUCCGAAAAGUAACUGCGGACUUGCCUGAAAUAAACAUUGGUGCAGAUGUCAUCAAUAUCCAGAACAGACCCCGAGAGGCCACUGAUAUUUUCUGUGGUAGGGUGCUUUAGAAUUGUUGGUGUUACUCAUUAUUAAUCCACAUUUUCAAGUAGCUGCCCUCAGAUACUGAUGAAGAAUUCCCUGGAAGUAAGUCAUUUGUUUAUUUUUCACAACUUCUUUUUCACAGAUGACAUAGAUGCUGAGAAAAGGCAUUCAAGCCAGCUUAUACAAGCUCCCCAGACAGGAACAUCCCAUCCGUCCAGCAGCCUUAGGGAUGAAGUGGAGAGGCUGUCAUCAAUGUUCUCUCAAUCAUCGGUGUUUGAUAUGAUUCCGAACAGUCAAACCUCCUCCGCUGUAAGCACGUGUGAAAAACCUGAGCCAUCUCUCUCUGACGACGUUCCCCUACCAAGUAGCUCAUUCAUGGAAAUGGAACCAGAACAUGGUGACAAACAAGAGAAGACUGUGCUUCUUAAUACAACAAUGGAUAUGACCCAAAGUAAUGCUCCUGAGAUAGUCACUGUGGAAACCAAGGCCAACAAAACUGGCCGCUCCGGCAAGCCGAAAAGCAAGAAGAACAAGGAACAAGCCUGUGGGUCAAGUAUGGCUGAAAAUCCACAGGUGAAAAAAACUGCGGAUUCUAGGUUGAGUGAGGUUCAGAGUGCUCCCACUGGCACGUUGUUACAGACAGAUGGCCAUGCACUAGAGGAUAACACACACUCAGCGUCAGAGUCACCCAAAACACAGUGUAGGAGUGUCAUCACAUCUCGCAUUCCCAAAUUUAGCAAGUCGAAAGCCGGCAACAAUCAGAAAAAGGACAAAUUAAAAUCCCGUGACCAUACCAAGUCAAAAACCGUGUCCCCGGACAUUGCUAUGCCGGACCUGGACGAUUAUUUCAUGGAUCCUGAAAACGAAUUACCAAAAGCCAGCAAAGGUGUAAAAUUACCACAGGAGAUUAAUACGACAGAAGAGGCCACGCCCAAUAUCACAUGCAGGAGGUCCAGGAAUAAAGGCAGGAGCGUGUCUUCGGUCCCCAGGAAAACGUUUGUCACUUUGCCUCCGCUGUCGCGUGAAAGUGAGUGUCGUCGGUCCAAGUUGGAACAGGUCCGCGAUGAAGUGGAAGAAGAAGUUCAGGGAAAAUAUGAAGCAUGCAAAGACCAAGAACUUCCAGAAGAGUUCCUGCUUUGUGCAGAUAAAGUCACACAUCCAGAGUCAGCACAUAAGGACAAUAAUCCACAGCACAAAAUAAAGACAAAUUCUGGGGGAAGUCAGAAAUCGAGAUGCAGAGGGACAUUCGUCGUCUCAGUAGCCAGAGAUGGCGCCUCACUGAACGGGACCUCAACAGCAGAAGGUGCCGUAGAGCAGGACUUAACGCCUUCUACAGGAUCCUCGGACCGUGAGACUAUGGAUGCAGUUGUCGUUAUGAAACCUUCAGAAUCGAACCCACUAAGCGAUGGCGCAUCUGUCAAGGAAACACCGAGCUCCUGUAAGCGUCCUUGGUUAGCCACUCUGGAUUCAGGAAGCCCUCAAGAUGAUUUGAGUAGCAACGAUAACCAUGAAGUACCGCCGCUGGACAAAGACUGCACUUCAGGAACAGAGUUUCAGAAACCUAAAAAAGCCAGGAGAGAGGAAACGAGUCAAUCCAGUAAGAAGAAAGCCUCGCAGAGGGAGGAGUAUGUUGACCAUUCAAAUGACAGGAAAAAGAAGGAAAAAAGUUGCCAUAGCAAUAACCGAUUUAGAUCCAAAUUGGAACAGGUCCACAAUGAAGUGGAAGAAGAAGUUCGGGGAACAUAUGAAGCAAGCAAACACCAAGAACUUCCAGAAGAGUUCCUGCUUUGUGCAGAUGAACUCACACAUCCGGAGUCGGCACAUGAGGACAAUAAUCCACAGCACAAAAUAAAGACAAAUUCUGGGGGGAGUCAGAAAUCGAGAUGCAGAGGGACAUUCGUCGUCUCAGUAGCCAGAGAUGGCUCCUCACCGAACGGAGCAUCAACAGCAGAAGGUGCCGUAGAGCAGGACUUAACGCCUUCUACAGGAUCCUCGGACCGUGAGACUAUGGAUGCAGUUGUUGUUGUUAUGAAACCUUCAGAAUCUUACCCGCUCAGUCACAUUAAUGGCGUUUUUGUCAAGGAAACACCGAGCUCCUGUAAUCGUCCUUGGUUGGCCACUCUGGAUUCAGGAAGCCCUCAAGAGGAUUCGAGUAGCAACGAUAACCAUGAAGUACCGCCGCUGGACAAAGACCGCACUUCAGGAACAGCUGUUCAGAAACCUGAAAAAGCCAGGAGAGAAGAAACGAGUCGAUCCAGUAAGAAGAGAGCCUUGCAGAGGGAGGAGUGGGUUGAUCAUUCAAUUGACAGGAAAAAGAAGGAAAAAAGUAGCCGUAGCAACAACCGAUUUAGAUCUGAGGACGAAGCAUGUUAUCUUGAGGACAGCGGGGAUGCCUCACCUCGCUGUGGUAUUGAUGGUCCUGACAGAAACAAACAAUCGGCUGAUUUACGAGUGGUUGACUCACGUUCCAGGAUCAGUGAAAAUGAUGAAAUCUUUGAGCAUUUGUUUGAUUCAAACCCCAACGAGUCAAAGUCCAAAAUGGCUCAGAAUGCAAAACGGUGUAGAAAGACUUCCAAGCUUCAAACACUCACAGAAACCAGAAAUCCAAGGGAAACCAGUGACGAGGCAGUUGAUCUGAAACUGGGACGCCUGCUGAUGGAUGAGAUGCCACCGUGGCUGGACAUAGAUGUCAGCGUUGCUGACACGGAGGUCGUCUCUUUGCCCGCCAGUCCCAGGAGGGAGACAUCAAGCAGGGCGGCAGUGAUCGAGGACUCUGCUGCUGUCACAACUGAUUAUUCUCCAGCAGUAAGAGUCUUUACAUCUCUAACGAACACCCCAGACAGGGAAAAUGGGGGGAGAACCAGGAGACGAAAAGGCGUCGUCAGUUAUAAGGAGCCGACCCUCAACAGGUGAGGAAGUCCAGUCCAUCACCUGUGGCCGCGAUCCUGUUUCAGUAUUGAUUAUACCAGAAAACAGCAGCGCCUAAUUGUUGUAUUUCUUUCUUUCUUCUUUUUUUGGAACAGCAAAAUGAGGCGUGGAGAUAAAUUCACCGACAGCGAGUUUCUGAGUUCUCCGGUGUUUAAGGACGAGAAGAAAAAGAAGAGGAAGAAGCAGCAGCAGCAGCAGCAGAAGAAGAUCAAUCCAAAGUUGGAUGAAUCCAUUUUUAUGGACUGAUUAUUAUUAUUAUUAUUUUAAUCUGGUUUAUUUUAAGUUGUUGGUUUUCUUAAGAUUAAUAAAGUCCUUUUGAUCUUGGUCUUUUGAGUCACACUUCAAACAUUGUUUGCUGGUUACCAUAUUUGUAUUGUAUAUUAUAUUCUUUGUAUAUUUGUGUGUUAUAUGAUAACCACUGUUCCACUUAUUUCCCAGUAUUAUGUGGUUGGUAAUGGUUUCAGAGAUUGACAGGGGGUUGGUCAUAAAUGAUUCAGUCCAGGCUGUACACCUGAGAAGUCUGUUCCACAUCGCUGUCAAAGGCUUGUGUUCCCCCGAAAGGUUACCAUAUGCAAUGCUGCCCGACCGCAGCCAACCAUGUGUACGGUUUUUUAGCAUCAUGCAAACUGAAGGUCUGUAAGCUUGUUUACGGUCAUACAGAAUUGUGUGGUGAGUACAGAUGCUAGCAUGUAUAUGAAUUUGUUUUAAAUAUGCCACCGAUUGUUGUUGUUUUUUUUUGUCUGCUCAUUAAAAAAAAUGUUUGCACAGGAG